rnacentral:lncRNA from 1 species
AUGCUUUGCAAGGACAGCACGCAAGGGGCCGUUUGCACAGGGCUCUUUGCACAGGCCUUUUGCACAGAGCUCUUUGCACAAGAGCAGUUUGCAUGGGGCCUUUUGCACAAGGCUACUUUGCACAGGAGCAGUUUGCACAGAGCCAGUUGCACAGGGCUCUUUGCAUGGGGCAGCACGCACAAGGCUGUUGCACGGGGCUGUUGCACAGGACUACUUUGCACAGGGCUCUAUGCACAGGGCCAUCAGUACAGAAUGCUUUGCAAGGGCAGCAUGCACGGGGCUGUUUGCACAUGGGACCGUUUGCACGGGGCCUUUUGCACAAAGCCCUUUGCACAGGACUCUUUGCACAAAGCAGAGCAGUUUGCACAAGAGCUCUUUGCACAGGACCUUUUACACGGGGCUCUUUGCACAUGCAGCACACCCGGUGCAGUAUCUGCAGUUAGUUUGCACAGUGCCGUGUCAUUGCACGUUGCACAUUGCAUGCUGCACGUUGCACAUUGUUGCACGCUGUGUGUUGCAUGCAGUGCAACCCCAACGUUGCAUGUUGCACGUUGCAUGCUGUGUUGCACAACAUGCAAUCCCAACGUUGCACAUUGUUGCACGCAGUGUUGCACGCUGUGCAAUCACACCAUUGCAUGUUGUUGCAUGCUGUGCUGCACGCCAUGCAAUCCCAACAUUGCACAUUGCAAGCAGUGUGUUGCGUGCUGUGCAACCCCAACACUGCAGGUUGCAUGUUGCACGCAGUGCUGCAAGCUGUGCAAUCCCAACAUUGCAGGUUGCACAUUGCACGCUGUGUUGCAUGCUGUGCAAUCACAGCAUUGCAGGUUGUUGCAUGCAGUGCUGCAAGCCGUGGAACCCCAACACUGCAGGCUGCACAUUGGAAGCAGCGUCGCAUGCCAUGCAACCCCAACAUUGCACAUAGCAGGUUGUUGCAUGCACUGUUGCAGUCCAUGCAAUCCCAACAUGGCAGGUUGCACGCAGUGUUGCAUGCCGUGCAACCCCAACGUUGCAGGUUGCACGCUGUGUUGCUAUCACAACGGUGCAUGUUGCAUGCCGUGUGUUGCACACCACGCAACCCCAACGUUGCAGGCUGCUGCACACUGUGUUGCAUGCCGUGCAAUCCCAAUGUUGCAUGCUGCAUGCUGUGUUUUGCACGCUGUGUUUUACACGCUGUGUUUGCAAGCUGUGUUUUACAUGCUGUGUUUUGCACGCUGUGUUUGCACGCUGUGUUUUGCACACUCUGUUUUGCACGCUGUGUUUGCACGCUGUGUGUUGCACGCUGUGUGUUGCACACUGUGUUUUACACGCUGUGUUUUGCACACUGUGUUUUGCACGCUGUGUUUGCACGCUAUGUGUUGCACGCUCUGUUUUGCACACUAUGUGUUGCACGCUGUGCUUUGCACGCUCUGUGUUGCACGCUGUGUUUUGCACGCUGUGUUUUGCACACUGUGUUUUAUACACUGUGUUUUGCACGCUGUGUUUUGCAUGCUGUGUGUUGCAUGCUGCACGUUGCAUGCUGUGUGUUGCACACUGUGUUUUGCAUGCCAUGUUUUGCACGCUGUGUGUUUGCACACUGUGUUUUGCACGCUGUGUUUUGCACGCUGUGUGUUGCACUCUGUGUUUGCACGCUGUGUUUUGCACGCUCUGUUUUAUCACCCCCUGUCCGUGUUCCUGCAGUUGCACACAAGGUCGUUUCCUGUUGCUCAAGGACUUCCUGCCCGGGAACAUCCCGGCCCCACAAACAACCCCGCCCCAUAGUGACCCUAUAGCCACCCCAUAGCAGCCCCAUAGCGACCCUAUAGCCACCCCAUAGCAGCCCCAUAGCGACCCUAUAGCAGCCCCAUAGCGGCCCCAUAGCAGUCCCAGACCAACCCCAUAGCAGCCCUAUAGCAGCCCCCUAGCGGCCCCAUAGCGACCCCAUAGAGGCCCCAUAGCAGCCCCAUAGCGACCCUAUAGGCACCCCAUAGCAGCCCCAUAGCGACCCCAUAGAGGCCCCAUAGCAGCCCCACAGCGGCCCUAUAGCGGCCCCAUAGCAGCCUCACAGUGGCCCCACAGUGACCCUAUAGCCGACCCAUAGCGGACCCAUAGCAGCGCCAUAGAAGCCCUAUAGCAGCCCCACAGCGGCCCCAUAGCGGCCCCAUAGCAGCCCCAUAGCAUCCCCAUAGCGGCCUCAUAGCGGCCCCAUAGCAGCCCCAAAGCGGCCCUAUAGCGGCCCCAUAGCAGCUUCAUAGUGGCCCCACAGUGACCCUAUAGCGGACCCAUAGCGGACCCAUAGCAGCCCCAUAGCGGCCCCAUAGCAUCCCCAUAGCGACCCCAUAGAGGCCCCAUAGCAGCCCCACAGUGGCCCCAUAGUGGCCCCACAGUGACCCUAUAGCGGACCCCUAGCAGCCCCAUAGAAGACCUAUAGCGGCCCCAUAGCAGCUCUAUAGCAGCCCCACAGUGGCCCCAUAGCGACCUCAUAGCGGCCCGAUAGCAGCCCCAAAGCGACCCCAUAGAGGCCCCAUAGCAGCCCCAUAGCAGCCCCAUAGCAGCCCUAUAGCAUCCCCAAAGCAACCCUAUAGAGGCCCCAUAGCAGCCCCACAGCGGCCCCAUAGCAGCCCCAGACCAACCCCAUAGCAGCCCCAUACCAGCCCUAUAGCAGCCCCACAGCGGCCCCAUAGUGGCCCCAUAGCGGCCCCAAAGCAGCCCCAUAGCGGCCCCAAAGCGACCCCAUAGAGGCCCCAUAGCAGCCCUAUAGUGGCCCUAUAGCGGCCCCAUA